GUCAGAGAAUAUGUUGUGCGUGUGUGGCGUGGUCGUCACAAAUCUGUUUGGCGGGAUUCUACCCUGUUCGAUCGGGAAGCGCCCAGUCGCGAUUGUGUCGAACCGUAACCCACUAUAGACGCUAACGCGCAUUUG
rnacentral:sRNA from 23 species